rnacentral:misc_RNA from 1 species
ACAUUCACACCCGCGCGCACACACAAGCACACACAACGAAAACGCAUCGAUCGGGAGGCUUGGUGCGUGCCUCUGCCUUACGGACUUGCUGCUCCCUCUGCGCAUCCCCCUCCCCCUCCUCUAUCCCUCUCUGCCGCUGGCUUCACUGACCUCGAUGGAGAACAUCGGCGCCGAUCGUUUUCUGGUGCUCUCCGGCGAGUUUCCGGGCGAGGGCGUGUGGUGCUGGGCCAGAACGUACACGGAGCUUGUCGAGUGCGUGCGGAGUGCCUGGGGCUCCGAUUUCAGGCCCGUCUUCAAGUACAAGCUACCAUGCAUCCUAACCGACGCGAACGCUCACACUCGCCGCGAGGUAGCUGAAGAGAAGCCACCGCCGCAAGAGGCGGCACUCAUCGAGGAGGCAGUGAGCGCCGGUCUUUCGGCGUCCACCCCACGCAAGACUCGCCCCUCUACGUGCCUCGUAGUGCUGAACGAUGCGGACGACUUUCACUUAUGGAGACGUGGCGGGGCGUAUGUGUCGGCGGCAGACACGACAGCUUCUCUCGCUGCAAAGACCAGGGAUGUGCGAGGCGACUUCGUCCACCAUCACGGGUCACCCGCGGGCUCGGCUGAGGAGAUAAUGCACACGGUAGCGCACCAUAUGGACUACCAUCGGCUCGCCUCGGAGGCACGCACCGCAGAUGCGAGUGCCACCGCCACUGCGACCGCGACGACUGCUGCCGCGCGCGAGGAGGGCCACAAAGAGCGCGUGUGGAAUCCGUGUCCGCUCACCUCGACUCUCUACGCAUUUCGCUCUGGUGCGCCGACCACGGGCUUCUUCAACGCACCGCAGCGGCAGUGCAACGGCAGCAGCGUAUCUAGCGAGAGAGUCCGCACGCGAGCCAGUCCGCCGGUGCGGCGCGCCGACGCCGACGUCAUUCAAGUUCCGCUGCAGUGCAUCCUGGACCCGGCCCUCAUCCUUCGGCUCAAUGUGACGGUGGUGUUGCGGCACAGCGCCGCGCCGGCGGAGGUGGUUCUCUUUUCCAGCCACACACCAUCCGGUCAAGGCAGUCUUCCUUGGGGUGCUCUGUGCGUCAAGGCUCGGAACGCGUGGGGGGUGCACGCGCCCCAGUUCCGCUACGUCGACCUCACCAACGGUGUCACGCAACUGCUCAUCAACCACGUCAACGACUACCGCGCAUGGUGGCAGCAGAUGCGGCUGACGAACUGCGAGCUCUUGGUCGUGGAGCAGGCACCGUCGGUGACGAGCGGCUCCGCGUUUGCAUCUGCGGAGGCGCAGACGGCGAUCGGCCGCUACUACGAGGAAGAAUGGCCGGUGGAGCGGUACUCCUCUUCGAAGAAUGUGGUGGAGCUCGUGCGUGAGUUGAAGGCGCUUGAGCGGGAGGAGAGGAUGGCGGCUGUGCAGAGGCUUGGAAGAGCGGUAAAGGCGCCGGUCAACGGCGCCCUCACCGCCUCCACAAGGGCUGCAACGCCGCGACGACCCACCCAUACGUCAUGUGAUUCCCCAAAGAUCGACGCAGCAUCGGCACCCUCUAGCGAGACGGCAGCCGUAGCAUCAAUGCCAACGCUAGCGGAAUCGCGGACCCUCGACCCGUAUCGUCCACUGCUGCUUCAGAAGCCGCAGAAGCCCCUUUUGACGACAUCAACCCCGAGCCACGGCCUGUGCUGCUCCACGCCUCCCACGGUAUUAUCCACCGCUACCACACCCUCGCGCGCACCAUUGACGAUAGAAGAGAAGAUCGAUGAGGAGAUGCGGUGCAGUUUGCUGAACGCUGAACGCUACGCGCGUCUGAUCAACUUCGUCUCACCGGAGCACCCUGACACUGUUGCUGUCUCCAGUGGCAGUGACCCGGAGCUCAGGGCGUCCAGUGAGCGCGUGACGAGGUCUCCUGGGGACGCAGAAACGCCGCUGAGACGAUCCCGGCAGUGGCUGUUUGCAAAACUGACUUCACCGGAGCCCAAGGCAGUGGCUGCGAAGGCCACGACGGGCCACGCCAAUGGACAGGCGCGCACGCCUUCGACUGCCGCUUGUAAGGAUGCCGCCGGGGCGGCUGCCACCGCAAACGGGGUCUCUCACUUGAGUGUGGCGGCCAUGAACGAGCCUAUGCUCGAUGCACAUGUGCGGGCGCGGUUGCACAACGCGUUGCUCUCCCAUCACUUUCGCACGCACUUGGCCUACCCGGUCAGCGCACGGGGGAUCGGGGCGACGCCGAUAUGGUAGCAGGCAGGCAUUCGCUGCCUUCUCUGACGCCGAGGUGGUCGUUCUCUCUAUCCCUCCUCUUUCUCUCUCUUGAUCUGAAGCUUUAAAAGUGUUUCUUUUCGGAAACGACAGCAGCUCGGGUUGCGCCACGCUCCCUUUCCAUGUACAGUUCGUCAUCACUCUUCCUUGCCUUCUCGCUGUCUUCGCCUCCCCCCCCCCCGCACACGCGCCCUUUCGCGUGUUGACGUACGUGGGCUUCUCGAUGUUUCCUUUCGUUGUUGAGCUUUCCCCUUCUUUGCUUCGAGCGUGCCGCUUGGCGCGUGGACGUCAAGGACUCCCACGUGCAUGCGCCAGCGGAGAGUGCCGAGAUGCACACAGACAAGACAAAACCCUCUCGUGUCUUUCCGUUGCACCUUUACUGGAUCUCUCGGUACUGUCACGGCAGCAUCGGCUUUGGAUGAUGGGAACAGUGCACAAGCGCGCACACGCGCACAUGCGCCUCUCUUCAGCCGUCUUCUUAACUUCCUUUUUGCUUCUGUGGAUGCGCAGUGUCGCAGUUGUGGGCCUUGGCCUGUCCAUCUGCGUGUCUGCGUUGCACCGCCUACGGUGGAGAGCCUCCGCCAGUGAGGUGAUGGGGGGGGGGGCUGCGACGGCAUUUUGCUUCUCUCGUUCGCUUUUCAGUAUUGUUUCGCCUUGCAUGGUGUACUGACUUUGCCACCGGCCGCGGGCGCCAGGAUGACAUCCCCUGCAACCGCGCUACGCGAUGCGGCGCUUACGAGGCGACAGGAAACCAUCCUCUCCCAGCUGCACACGCGCUCUCAUAGUCAGACGCCAUGGUGUGUCACACUGCAGGCAAGGCGCGCAGAGGCCAGCAGAGCACGGGUGAUGGACGAAAGAGGGGUGACGAGACCCAAUACGAAUCAGCCUCACCGUGCGUGUGCGCGAAGAGCAUGCGGUGUCUCCUGCGUCCGACCGGGCCUGUACGAUAUGAAGCACAGAUGCCGAGGGCAUGGCGAGAGCACCCCCCCCUCCCCCAAGCUGCACCACGGAGUCUUCCAGACCCCCGUGUGGAGAGCCUCCACACCACUUUGUGGAAUGCCGCGGCUGGAGGUGACUGAGAGCAGAGGCAUGGCAUCCAGGCAGUGUGGACGAGGUCUCAGAGGACCCUGGCCGGAGGCUGGCCAACGUACUCCUCGAACCCAUGCGGCAUGCGCCUGGAACACCCCCUGUUACUCGCACCACGGAUGCCCACCGCCUCCAGCCCUCAAGCAGGGCCCUGGGCGCUGUGCGCUUGGGUCAAGGCAUGUCGUCCACGCGAUUCUCUCCGACUGGCGCCGAUCUGGCAGCACGCAUGCGAGAGAGGGAUGGGAAAGGACAGAGAGAGCCCGCAAGACGCGUGACCCGAUUCAACGGCAGGGCGGCUCAUCCAUGACGACGCAGGAUGUAGCCAGGGGUGCCACAGCGGUAGAUGGGUUGUGGGUGUAUGUGUAUGCGUAUGCUAGCUUGUUCGCGACG